GACGAAGCGUGCAAACGUUAUUCGGAAUCACUGGGCUUAAAGCGUGCGUAGGCGGCUGAGAAAGUUGGGUGUGAAAUCCCUCGGCUCAACCGAGGAAUUGCGCUCAAAACUACUUGGCUUGAGGGAGUUAGAGGUGAGCGGAACUAAUGGUGGAGCGGUGAAAUGCGUUGAUAUCAGUAGGAACACCGGUGGCGAAAGCGGCUCACUGGGACUCUUCUGACGCUGAGGCACGAAAGCUAGGGGAGCGAACGGG
rnacentral:rRNA from 1 species